GCUUAACGCGAAGAACCUUACCCACCUUUGACAUGUACGGAAUUUGCCAGAGAUGGCUUAGUGCUCGAAAGAGAACCGUGACACAGGUGCUGCAUGGCUGUCGUCAGCUCGUGUCGUGAGAUGUUGGGUUAAGUCCCGCAACGAGCGCAACCCUCGCCAUUAGUUGCUACGAAAGGGCACUCUAAUGGGACUGCCGGUGACAAACCGGAGGAAGGUGGGGAUGACGUCAAGUCCUCAUGGCCCUUAUAGGUGGGGCUACACACGUCAUACAAUGGCUAGUACAAAGGGUUGCCAACCCGCGAGGGGGAGCCAAUCCCAUAAAGCCAGUCGUAGUCCGGAUCGCAGUCUGCAACUCGACUGCGUGAAGUCGGAAUCGCUAGUAAUCGUGGAUCAGCAUGUCACGGUGAAU
rnacentral:rRNA from 1 species